AGGGUUCGAUUAUGGCUCAGGACGAACGCUGGCGGCGUGCCUAACACAUGCAAGUCGAACGAAGAUAGAUAGAAAGCUUGCUUUAAAUCUAUCUUAGUGGCGGACGGGUGAGUAACGCGUGAGGACUUGUCGGAUACAGGGGGACAACAGAUGGAAACGUCUGCUAAUACCCCAUAAGCCUUCGGGCAAAAGGAGCAAUCCGGUAUCUGAGAGACUCGCGUUCUAUCAGCUAGUAGGUGGGGUAACGGCCCACCUAGGCCAAGACGGAUAGCCGGACUGAGAGGUCGACCGGCCACACUGGAACUGAGAGACGGUCCAG
rnacentral:rRNA from 1 species